rnacentral:rRNA from 1 species
GACGAACGCUGGCGGCGUGCUUAACACAUGCAAGUCGAGCGGUAAGGCCCUUUCGGGGGUACGACGAGCGGCGAACGGGUGAGUAACACGUGGGUGACCUGCCCUCAGCUCUGGGAUAAGCCCGGGAAACUGGGUCUAAUACUGGAUAUGACUCCAUGACGCAUGUUGUGGGGUGGAAAGCCUUGUGCGGCUGAGGAUGGGCCCGCGGCCUAUCAGCUU